UAUUUCGGUAAGGACAAAAAAAAAAACAGCAAACAAAUGCCACUAAUGUUGAAAUUGUUAUCCACCAGUGAAAUAUAAUCCUGCAGACAUGCGGGGACUAUAGCGAGAAUGAAUGGUUAGCUAGUACUAGCUAGCUAACAGCGUCGUUUUUUUAUCGGCAUUUUAGAUGGUUGGCCUGCCCAAAUGGGGUAGCUAGCUAUGUUUUUAGCAAACAGGCUAUAUAUAAUGUUAACUACCACUCUGAUCCUAGCCAUGGUUUAAGUUUAGAACGGUUGUGGGGAAACAUUUAGGUUCGCUGUUCUGUCUUGUUUUGGUUGUUUAGCUAGCUAACUACUGUGAUGUUACUAAUCUGAAGAAUUACAGUACGUAGAAGUGCAAUUGUUCUGUUUUUAGCAAAUGUUGCUGCUAGUAAUUACCAAUCUUGUUUGGCCCAGUUUCCCAUAAGGAUCUUAUGGCUAAGUUAAUUGUUAGAACCAUUCAAUAGUCCUAACUAUGAUCUUAGCCAUAAUAUACUCUUGGGAAACCAGGCCCUGGUUAAUUAACUAGCUAGCUUCUAUAAAGCAUUUUCGAUGUAGGACCAGCGCCAUCUUGACUGUGCUCUUUUACAUGAAUCAAACUAGCUAUCUAGCAUGACGCUUUUCCUCAAGUAAAUAUCAGUGGUGCACAUCCAACUGAACAAUAAUGGCUAAAAUGAUUAAACAAUACUGGAUGUAAUAUUUAUGCGGUCUUCCUGUAGUUUUGCAGAAUUUGCUGUCUACCUGCAGCCCUUCAGAUUGGCAACUGCUUUUGUACUCUGGCGGACUGAGCUUUUAGCUAACGUCUAGAAUUGAUUUAAAUUGCUUGCCGUCAGGAUUGGCUUGGAUAUCCUGUGCCACAGUUUUAACGAAGCACCACUUAUUAUUACAGGUAAGCUUGUAAAUAUGUCCUGAACAUAGGUUCAUUCAAUUGACUGCCAGUCCAACUUUCACAACCUCCUGUGGGCUCUUGGUGGUUUUUACCAGUAAUUA
rnacentral:lncRNA from 1 species